UUCCAACGCCCACUUGGAUUCAAGGAGAUUCAAAACCCGUGUCACUGCUGCCAUCUUCCUAGAAUCCCUUUAAAUCCUCAUGGAUUUGCUGACAUUGGGAGCAUCCUGAAAGAGUCCCCAUGCUAGGGUGGCUGCAGUAACAGGUUCUCCCCACUCCAGAAAAAAUCAAAUCAGAUUGUGAAUUUAUUCCCUGACAUUAACACACGGCAUUACAGGAGCAUGUACAUCACAUGGUCAAUUUAUUGGCAUGAGGAUUAUGUCAUCGGGGAAUAAAUGGGAAAUUCUCAAGGUA
rnacentral:lncRNA from 10 species